rnacentral:rRNA from 1 species
UACGUAGGGGGCGAGCGUUGUCCGGAUUUAUUGGGCGUAAAAGGCUUGUAGGUGGCCACGCCAAGUCGGAUGUGAAAUCUCCCGGCUCAACUGGGAGGGCUCAUUCGAUACUGGCGGGCUCGAGGCCGGUAGGGGGUAGCGGAAUUCCCGGUGUAGUGGUGGAAUGCGUAGAUAUCGGGAGGAACACCAGUGGCGAAGGCGGCUACCUGGACCGGUUCUGACACUGAGGAGCGAAAGCGUGGGGAGCGAUCCGG